GUUACUAAAGAUUCUCCCAGAGAAGGGAUAUAAGAUGUUUAGGGUUUCUGAAAGAGAUUUCUUCAGCUGAGUCAAAAUAUUGGAGGUGUUGGUAUCACUCGGGGGAUAAAAUAAUAUGAUUGGAACAUAAGUGGUGGGAGUUAGCUGAUCAAAUACACAGAGUUUGAAGGGUUCUUUUAGAUGAAUUUCUGGGGAAGAUGGUUUGAUGAUUUCUUUUGAAAGAAUCUGAGCCUCAAACUUCAUCAUUUCUUUGUUUUUUUUCCCUCACCAAUAUGUUUACACAAACUCUAUAGGAAGGAGAAAAAUAUAUAAACUAUUGGAGAUCAAAGCCUCCACUAUAAGAUCUUCUAGUUUUGGCUAAACUACUAUAAAAGCCCUUCACUUAGUUUACCUUUGUUAAAGCCCUUCACUAUAAGAUCUCCAAUAAAUCUGCCAAAAAUAUUGUUAAUAAUAGUAAACAAUUGUAUUAAACAUGGAUAAUAAGUGUAGAUAGUAACAUAUUUUGAUGAAUUACCCAAAAAUUCUAUUUUUUUCGAAAAAAUAUAUCGGAUUAGACCGGUUUUUUUUAAUUUAUCGGAUUAAGCUGAUUUUGGAGAGAGUGUGGAUUUGGCAGGAAAGUGCUUCUAGCUAGAUGCACUUUCCUGCUCAGUCAACAAAGCACAUCUAGCUAGACGCAUUUUCCCUAAUGGCUACCCACUCAGCGGUCGAAUUCUAAUGGCUCCCCCCUAACAGUAACUCUUUUCCCCUAUUUAAACCCCAAAUUUCCCACUUUUUCAAUUCACUCUCUACUCUCUCAAUUCAUUCUCAAUCCUCUCUUAAUUCUCACUCAAUUCUCUCAGUUCACUCUCAUUUUUUAUUAAAAUUGUAUUAAGGUUUUUUAAUUUUUUUGUAUUACAAUUUUUAUUUGUAUUUAUUGAAAUUAUUAAUGACAAAUUCUCUUAUUCGUUUAGAUGACAAGCACAUUUCGACCGUUCAAUUGCAAAUGGUAAGAAUUUUUUUAUUACUUUUAAUCUAAUCUAAUUUAAUUAUUUUGUUGUUAUAUUGAAAUUUAAGAUUUUGUAUUUUUUUUUAUAAUUAGCUAGAAGAUCGGAUUUUGGAGACGUACAUUCGCAAUCUAUCUACUCCUUUAUCGUUUUUAAUCGAACCAUACUUGUGAGAUGCAAGAUUUUUGCACAUCGCCCGUAUGGGUAAGGGGUGCAAAUUGGAACUCGAACUUGUAAGCGUGUUGGUGGAAAGAUGGUUAAAGUCUUAUUGGUUUGAGAUGUGAAAUUGGACUUAUAUUUUGUGAUGUUUUCACUUAGGUCUUAAGAUCAACUAUACUUUGUUAAAUGACAAGAUGAAACUAAAAAGGUAUGAGCUUGUAGGAUUCUGCCUACAAGGUCGCGACACUAGCUUUCAACAUUACUACGUCCUUUGUUUGAGGUCGCAACGUUAACUCAUUGUUUUCAAAGUCGCGACAUUGCACCAUCAAAGUCAUGACACCAUGUUUCUGCCAUUGAUGACGUGACGUGAAACCUUCAUGGUGGCGACGCCAACUCGAUAAAACUUGAUAACUUUGCAUUUUGGUCCUCAUAUGGUCUCGGGUUAUCAUAGGAGCUUUCAUAAGCUUGUAUAAACCCAAAUAUGAGUUGGAAGAAUGUUUUAUUGAUGUUUUAUCUGAAAUAACUUAUAUAAAAAAUGUCCUUUUUUGAAAGAACAAUUUUGUAUGUUGAUAUGUGAGGGUGAGUUACAAUAUAAAUGCAAGAGGUAGAAAAGAAAAAUGAAUGCUCUUAUUAUAGCUCCUAGUUGUUUACAUUGAUUUCACUCUUUAGUAAUUGUGCUUACUUCAAGAAGGAAAAAAUAAUGCUCAUAGCCUACACUUUGCACCCUUUUCUUUGAAUUAUUAUUAGCUUAAAUUGUCUAGUCACCUAUUUUAAGAAGUUAUUUAAUUUAAUAAUUUUCGAUAGCUUAAUUGCAAUUAGUGAUGUUUAUGAAUUGGGUUGGGUCGGAUUUGGGUCGAACUCAUGCAACGUAUUUAAAUCAAUUCUCUAAGUUCGGGACCGACUCAGUCCAGAAAAUGGACUUACUUUUUUGUUCAAACUCGAUCCGAUUUAAGAAAAGUAAAUCUGUGCUUGACCCACCCAUAUUUAAAAUCUAGUUGGAUUUUAAUAUAAGUGUUGAAUGCAUGUGUUUGAUUUAUAUAAUUAUAUAUUUUUUCAUAUUCAUAUUCAAAUUUUUAGUAGAUGAGCUGGGGCGUCACCUCAUCCUGUAUUUCUUUCCAAUUAUUUAAUGACACUUCAACAAUUCUUUUCACGUCAUUGAUACAUAAUUUUGGUAAUUUUUUAAACCCCUAAACCUUGAAUUUUGAACCCAAAACCCCAAACCCCAACUCAAACCCCAACCCUAAAUCUUAAACACUGACCUCUAAACUUGACCAAUUAAUUAAAAGUUGUAAUUUCCCAUUGAUAAGGGUUAUAAGUUGAAUUAAUUAUUCUAAGUUAUUUGAAUGGUUUAAUUAAAUGAAAAUUAUUAUUUAGAUCAAUAAACAAACCAAACAAAUCUAAACUGAGAAAAAGCUAAAAUGUUGGAUUAGUCGUCGGCUUCGUUUUUACAAUUGUUUUUGUCGAGGUAAGUUCAUAUAAAGAUUUAAAUUCAUUAAUUGAUGUUCUGAAUGUAGUUUUGAUAAAUAUUAUACUAUGUAUAGAUUAGAUUGAUAGUUAUUUGAUGUUUUGGUAUUUCAGAUAUAAUCAUAAUGAUAGCUAAAUUGAAUGUUAUAAUUGAAAAAUGUACAUUUCAUGCUCACGUGGCAAAUAUAAAAAAAUCCAUAUUUUUUAAAUUUAAAAGAAAUAAAAUGUGCAUUUUAAUUACAUUAAUUAAAAUUAAAAUUUUAUGUUGUUGAUUUGGAACUACGUAGCAAAUUGUUAAAAAUCUUUAUUGAUUUAAAAAAAAUUAAAAAAAUUAUAGAUUUUUUAAAGUUUUUUAACACUUGAUAAUUUUAUUUAUUUUUAGAUUUUUUUAAUUUUUUGAAGUUUUUUUUUUAAAUUUUGUACUCUUCUAAAAUGAAUUUGUACAACUGUUUGUGCAAAUUUAUUUGAAUAUGAAGAACUUAUUGUUUAGAUUCAUUCUAUAUGCAUAUUUUAUUUUAUUUUUUAAAAAGAUUUUAUAUUUUCAAAAAAUAAUUAUUCAAAAUAAAAAAAAAUAUUUUUUUUGCUGACUAGGCAUGCUAGGUUAGCAUACUACCACAUGGCAAAUUUUAGUGGUUUUUGUCAACCAUGUUAAUGGUUAAAUCAGUCAAGUGACAGUUUCUGUUAAUGAAAGGAACCAAUAAAUUUUUUUAUUUUUUAUUGAGAUUUUUUUUUGACCCUUGGCAAAAGAAAAUUACUUGUGCUAAUUGUAAGAAUUGACAUAAGUAACUUUAAGGACUAAUAUGAUAAUAAAAAAAAAGUUAAAUACGUCAUGUAAGUAUUUAUUAUCCAAAUAAUUUCCAUAUCUAUUUAUUAAUUAAAAUAUUCUAUAAUCCCAUAACCAAUUAACCAAUUAACCGACCUUAGCUAAGUUGGUAGAGCGGAGGACUGUAGUAGAAUAUCCAAACAGCCAUCCUUAGGUCGCUGGUUCGAAUCCGGCAGGUCGGAUAUUGCCCUUUUUUUUUUUUUUACAAUUUAUUUAAAAGAAUAGGUUAAAUUUUGCUUUUAGUCCCUAUACUUUACUUGGUACUUUUUCAAAUUUUAAAGUUGCUUUGCAUCACUUUUUCACCUUAUUAAGAGAAUAGGUUAAAUUCUACUAUUAGUCCUGAUCAAAUUGUAACUGUUAAAUAAAUUAGUUUUUGUUAUUUCUAAAAUUUGAAAUGAGAAAUACAUUAUCACAUAUCUAUUAUUUCCAAAGAUGAUAUCAGUUUAAUUCAAUCAAACUUUUUUAGAAUUUUCGAACCAUCCAUCAUACUUUAAUUUAGUAAAUGAAUCAUAAUAAAAUGAUAAAAAUAAAUCAUAUUUAUAAUUAAAUAUUUAUUAAGAAAUGAUAAAAAUUUAUAUAAUUUUUUUUAUAAAAGAUGUAUUCAAUAAAUGAAUACUUAUGUAAAUUCUUAUCAAUUUCGGUUUCAAUCUUUAUUUAAAAAUACUAUUUUUGUAAUUGUUUUAUUUAAAAUUUUGAAUAAAAAUAAUAAAAGAUAAAAGAUACUAUUUUUAAAUUAAAAUUUACAAUAUAUCAAUUUUUUUAUAUAUUUUUUACAAAUUCUUUAAUAAUGAUUAGAAUUUUUUUAUCACUAUAUUUCAAAUAUCAAAAUAAUUUAUAUCUAUUUAUUAUUUAAUUAAUUAUUAUUUUGAAUAAUGUUACUUUACAUUAAUCACAACAUGAUAAAAUGCUUUAAUUAUGAUUUGAAUUUUUUAUUAUAAUAUUUGAAUGAUUAAAUAAGUUAAUGUAUUUUAAUUAUAUUCAACCAUUCAAAUAAAGCAUAUUAUUGAACCUCAUGUGAUGGCUUGAUGGUCAAAGGUGUUCAUUGUCCUAGGUGUGACUUGAGUUCAAGUCGCGUUGGUUGUUUGGGCUUUACCUUGCUAUUGUAAUUCACAAAAAAAGGAAUAUUAUUUUAAACUAAUUAUGAUAAUUAUAAAAAAAUAUUUAAAAAAUUAAUUAAAAAUUAAACACAUAAAAUCACAUUGUAAUUAUAAAAAUUAAUUUGCAAAAAAAAAAAAAAAACUGUUGUUUUGCUGCCAUUUCACUGUUAUGUUGUUAUUGUUUGCAUAUUGUAUAAUUCUUGUUUUAUUGUUAAUUUAUUACUAUUUUAGAGGCAUUUGUUUGUUAAGUUACACCUAUCUUAGUGUUAUUUAAGUAUAAAAACAUUUUUAAAUUUAUUUUCAGUUUGUUGAGAAAUAUUUAUUUUACUGUUUUUAGUAUCUUUCAUGUUUUUUUUUUAAAAAUUAACAUAGACCGAAUUAGGUUCGGGUUUAACAUCUAUAAAACGAACCUAAAAUUUUGUUAGGACCGACUUGAACCCGACCCGACACAGGUAUAGUUUAAACCCUUGAAACAUCAUUUUCUCCGAUGUGGAGUCAUAGUUUAAAAUGUCCUCACACAGCUGCACCAAAAUGGCAUGGUGGAGUGGACACAUGCCUUUCUUCUACAAGCCUUCGUGCCUCUGAUGUUUUGGAAAGAUGCGCUUUAUUCUACGACCUUUAUAAUCAAAAUACUUACUUCAAAGGCUAUUCAUCACAGGAACUCCUCAUGAAAUGGUCUUUGGAAGCAAGCUAGAUUAUGGUUAUCUAAAGGUCUUUGGCUGUAAGUGUUUUCCUUACCUUAUACCUUUCAAUAAAAAUAAACUUGAAUCUCAUUCAAUGCCUUGAACAUGCCUUGGUUAUUGUUCAAAUCACAAAGGUUACAAGUGUCUUACAGAUGAUGGGAGGGCCGAUAUGGUAUUACGUGAAUCAAUAAAUUCGAUACGGGUAUGAGUAAUGGUAUGAAUCGAAAAGGAAAUGAAUAUGUUCUUAGUAGUAGAAACUAUGGUAUUAUUUGGUUAUAUUAAAUUGUUGAAUGCAAUAUUUGUAUGAAUUGAUAUACAAAGCUAUUAUGCAUAUAUCAUAUCUUAAUGAAAUGUGUAUUGGCUAAAGGCUGAAUUGGAAUUGAUUGUGCAUAAUCUCGGUUUUGAUAUAUGCAUGUUAAUAGUUUUGGUUGAAUUAACUUGAAUCAUAAAAGUAUUGUUGAGCUUUAUCACUUAGCGUAUGGUUUGUUUAUUCCAUGUGCAGAUAUCCAUAAAUCUUGAAGCCUCGAGAGGUGAAACAAUGUCCAAAUUGUUGAUUCUGGACUCAGAAAUGUUUGCACAAUUCUCACAUUUCAAUAGAUGACAUGUACCUAAAAUUGGACCGAUUUUUAGGUUAUAAAUGGUCAAAUUAGUGUAAUUGAAUAAUGUAUGGAAAUGAAUAGUUCAUGAAAUUGGACCUAUAUAUUGUGAUGUUUGUCAUUUAGGUCUUAAGAUCAGCUAUACUUUGUUAAAUGGCAAGUUGAAAUUACAGAGUUAUGAGCUUGUAGGAUAUUCAGCCUACAAGGUCGUGACACCAGCUUUCAACGUCACGGCGUCUCCUGUUUAAGGUCACGAUGUCAACUCCCUGUUUUCAUUGCGACAUUGCACCAUCAGAGUCGCGACACCAUGUUUUUGCCAUUGAUGUCGUGACGUGAAACCUUCAUGGUGGCGGCGCCAACUCGAUAAAAUUUAAAAACUUUACAUUUUGGUCAUCAUGUGAUCUCAGAUUAUCAUAGGAGCUUUCGUAAGCUCUUAUAACCCCGGAUAUGAGUUGAAAUAAUGUUUUAUUGAUGUUUUAUCUGAAAUAACUUGUAUAAAUUAUUGAAUGGAUCGAUAUUGUAUUCCUAGUUACUUUGACAAUGAAUGUGACAUCCCGUAACUCGGACCCGACGAUCAGGUCGGAUAUAGGGUGUUACAGAUUCUUUAAAAGAAAUUAGUUUUAGAUGUAUUUGAUGAUAAAAUUAAAUCAACUAGAUUGAUAUGACAGUUUUAUUAUUUUAAAAAUUAUAUUAAAAAUGUAUUUUUGAUAUUUAAAUUAAAAUGAAAAUAUUUUUAUUAAUAAAUAUUAAUUGUAUAGGUCAAAUUUUGCUAUUGACCCUAUAUUUUGCAUAAGUUGUAAAUUUAAUACCAAUAAUUUAAUUUCGUUAUUUUCAGUCUCUAUGCUUUUAGAAUUUGAAAAUUUCAGUCCAGUAAUUAUAAAAUUCAUUAAGUUCUGUUAUUUUCAAAAUCUGAUAAGUCAAAUAUAUUAUCGCAUGUGUAAUGUUAUGUCAGCUUGUUAGUCUCAUAUAUUACUCACAAAAAAUUCAGUUAAUAGAUUUAAUGAGUGUUGUUUACAUUAAGACUAAAAUUUCGAAAUUAAAAGGAAUAUAAUGACUAAAAUUGAUCCAAUUGGAGAAUAUAAACCAAAUCUAUGACUUUACGAUUCAUACAUGAUUAAUAGCAUAAUUUAACUAAACAAAUUUGACUGUUACCAUUUGAUUAGGACUAAAAUUAAUCAAAUUAAAGCGCAAAUAUUAAUUUCAUAACUUAUAUAAAAGUACAUGGACUAAUAACAAAAUGUAACCAAUUUUAAUGUCCUUUUUUGAAAGAAUAAUUUUUUAUGUUGAUAUGUCAGGUAGAGGUGCUCAUGGGCCGGGCCCGGCCGGGUUCGGGCCAAGCCCAUAAAAAAUUUCGGCCCGGCCCGAAAUAUGGGCCUGAAAUUUUGUCCAGGCCCAGGCCCGGCCCGGGAAAAAAAUCAUAAGCCCGGGCCCAGCCCGGCCCAUUUUUUAAAUAAAUACCAAAAAAUUAUUUUAAAAAUUAAAAAAAGUAUUUUAAAAUACUUUUUAAAAUUUUAUAUUUUAAAAUUAAAAAAAUUUUAAAAAUAUUUUAAAAAUAUUUUAAAAUUAAAAAAUAAUAAAAAAGUAUUUUAAAAUUAAAAAAUUUAAAAAAUAAAUAUAUUUAUUAUAUCGGGCCGGGUCGGGCCCGGGCCAAAAAACUGGUGCCCGAGGCUGGGCCCGUUUUCUAAACGGGCCUAGUUUUUUUGCCCAAUCCCAUAUUUCGGGCCUAUAUUUUUACCCAAACCCUCCCAUAUUUCGGGCGGACCGUCGGGUAAUGUCAGGGUGAGUUACAAUAUAAAUGCAAGAGGUAGAUAGGGGUGAACAAAAUUCGAUUCUAUUCGAUUCGAAAAACUCGAUAAAAAAACUAAAUUUUGAAUUAACUAGUUUGAGUUAUUCGGAUCAACUCGAAUAAAAAAAUUAAAAUUUCCGGUUUAACUCGAAUAUGAAUUACACAAUUCGAGUAAACAGAAAAUCUAAAUAAGAAAAGACAAAACCACGUCGUUUUGGUAAAUGUUUAUCUUUUCUAAAGUUAAAAGUCAAAACCAUUAAAUUAAAAGGCAAAACUAUUUUGUUUUGAUAAAUGUUUACCAAUCAGUCUUACUUAUGUAAUUAAAUAAUCUUGUACUUCGUCUACUAGUUAAAUAAUCAAUCCAUAUAAACACAAUAUUGAGUAUAAAUAAUGUGAUUCGUUAACUCGACUUCAAAUUUUUUCGAUUCGAAAACUAUUCAAAUUAAUUUAAUUACCAAAAAAAAUUCGUCAACUCAAUUAAUUUAAAAUUUUUUAAGUCGAUUUUACUCGACGUGACUCAACGCUGAACGGUCAGAUUGUUUAAAUUGAAUUCACUCAGUAGUAACUGUGCUUACCUACUUGCCACUUGGACGACAGACUUUCGACCAACUUAUUUAUGUGUAUUUAAUUUUCUGCAGUUUGUGUUCAAAUUAAAGCGUACUUCAAAAAUGAAAAAUUUAAUGCUCCUAGCCUUAGCUUUUUCUUUGAAUUAUUAUUAUUAUUAUACUUAAUUAAAUAACUCUUGUUAGCUUAAUUACAAUUAGAGAUAUUCAUGUAUUGGGUCGAGUUAAGUUUGGAUUAAGCGCAAAUAAAGUAUUUAGAUUACUUCUUUAAGUUCGGGUUCAGCUCAAUCCAAAAAAUAAGUUUAUUUUUUAUCCAAACCUUUAAAAAAAAAACUCGAAUCUAACCCGAUCAUAUUUAAGUUUUUUAAAUUAAUUUUUAUUUAAAAAUAGUUUUUUUUACUUUUAUUUAUUUUUUAUCCCUCUAAAAUAAUUUUUUUAACUUCGUCCUUAGUGUUGGAUAUAAAUAUAAAAGAAUAACCAUAAUUGAUGCUUUGAAUGUGUUCUCCAUUCAUGUAUUUAAACUGGUUUUUUUGGUAAAAAAAUAUUUUUUAACAGGUAUGAUUUGAUAAUAUUAAAAUCUAGCUUCCAAAUGAUUAGAAUCAGAAUUUCACUGUUGAGAUUUUUUAAGAAAUUGACUCUUAAAUGUACUAUUUUUUUCCUUUGAAAAGACAGUAUAAAUAGGAGAUUAUUCCUUAAACUUCUCCCAUUAUUUUAUUCUUGGUGUUUUGCGGAAUUACACGAGAGAGAAAUUUUGUUAGGAGAUUGGGUUUUAAACCAGACCGUCUGUGAACCCUCUAAUCUUUCAUGGGAAUUGAACCUAGUCUGGUUUCGUUGGUUUUCUUUUAGCUUAUUUUUCGAUCAUAUUUUCAACCAACUGCUUUUGUUUUUUUCAAUUUUGAUUCCUUUAUUAGAAGAGCAAUAUCAAUUAUGUUCCACAUUCUUUAUCCGGGUAUAUAGAUAUUGAAAUACUGUGUUAACCUUGGGGCGACGUCCACUAUACGAUUACACAGAUCAGAACAAAUUUGCUUUUAAGACAGUGAUUCUUCCACAGCACGAUGAUUGCUCUAUUUAUUUAGACUCAGCUUGAUUUCCUAUUAGCGCUAAACAGUUUUAUUUUAUAGUAGUAUAUUUUUAACAUUAAUAACAUGAAAACAUUACUGAAAUAUCAUUAAGAUGAGGCAAUUAUUUCUAAUGAAAAUGAUUUCCAAUAAAUAAUAUUUUAAACACUAACUGAUAAAAAAAAUUGAAAAGAAAAGAAAAACUAAUAAUCCGGCCAACAUAGCAAUCCAACAGCAAUGCUUAAAAAUACCUGAAAGACGAAAUAUAAAAGUAGAAACCAUAUACUACUGAAAAUACCUUAUUCAUAGUAGAGGAGAUUUUAUUGAUCAUCAAAGUGUUUCCAGAGACGCUUACAAGCUUGAAAUCUGGGGACUUGGAGAAGCAAAGUUUAGGAAUUCAUGAUCUUUUUGUAGUGCAGACAUUUUGGUUUCAUCUAAGGUUAUCCAAGCUUCUAUUCCUUUCCCAUAUUUGGUUUCAACGAGAACAGUGAAGUUUCUAAAUUCAGGCCCUGCUUUUCCCAGUAUUGCAAAUGAACAAG
rnacentral:lncRNA from 1 species